UACGGGGGGAGCAAGCGUUGUUCGGAUUUACUGGGCGUAAAGGGCGCGUAGGCGGUCAGCACAAGUCAGUUGUGAAAUCUCCGAGCUUAACUCGGAAAGGUCAACUGAAACUGUGCGACUAGAGUGCGGAAGGGGCAACUGGAAUUCUUGGUGUAGCGGUGAAAUGCGUAGAUAUCAAGAGGAGCACCUGCGGCGAAGGCGGGUUGCUGGGCCGACACUGACGCUGAAGCGCGAAAGCUAGGGGAGCGAACGGG
rnacentral:rRNA from 1 species